rnacentral:lncRNA from 1 species
CCACAAAUCCAUGUGACCUUGUAAACCCAUGCUCUAGGAGACAUACCCCAGUGUGCCAUGACUUCAGCACACUAGUGUUCUCCUCACCGUAUGGACAUCUUUGGGCUCUUUGUGUUUUAUAGAGACUUUCCUGGCCCCACCAAGGGUGUCUCUGUUAACAAUCAGGGUUUUUAUCCCAUCUUUUGCUAUUCUAUUCUUGAAUGUUUGUCUCUCCAGUUUUUGUUUUGUUUUGUUUUUUGUUUUUUUUUUUUCUUACCCUAAGAGUUUGACCCAGAACUGCUCACUUUGCUUGGAAUGGCACUGGUUUUCUUCCUCGUUGAAAGGAAGGAGAACGUGUCCUGUUAACUGGUGAAUGGAAACAUUUCCACUCCCUGCUGUAAUCCCAGAUCCAGCCUGCCUUGGCUACUAGUAUGGAUGCGAGUGUGUCUUCUACUGUUUUGUUUGUAAUAAAAGUUUAAAACCAUAUGUCUAGCCUGUGACCAGGGCCAAACCCUGAUCCUUCCAGUGCCCCUGAAGGGUCGCCCUUCUCAGUCUAUCUCCCAGCAACGGCCGUACACUCUCAUACUGUGAAUUUGGGAGGUGGGAAAAUCAAGCCCGUCCCCAUGCAUAGUUUUCUCAGUCACCUUAGGAAUACACCCCACCAACAUUGCUUAGAACUGUUUCUUUAACGACACCCUCUGUCUGCUCUCCACACCCAGACUUCUCUCUCCCACCACAUCCAGGAUCGAAACUGCAACGCGUGUACCCAUUGCUGCCUGACUUGGUUUUGUAGUCCCUGAGCGCCUCCCAGCUCAGCCACCUUCCUGAAGCACUGGGAGGGGGGCUGUCUGAAAGGCACGUUUCUGACCGGGUCAUGAUUUUUCCUUUCCUGUUGCUCGACCUUGAACAAAGUGACUUUGUACUCACUUAGAGCUCUGUCUGAAAUGCUUCCUUUUUUUUCUGUAGAUAGGCUCAUUUUGAAAUGUAAGAAAUCCUAUGCAACUGCCGAUGGUGGGAGCCAAAAGUUUUCUUCCCAGGAGGCCCAGAAUUCCACAGACUUCCUUUUAACUUAAGGUUUGGGGUGGGAGGGUGGGAGUGUGACAAGGGCAUUACUUGGCCCUGAUCUUCCUCCGACCUUGAGGACAUUUUAAAUUUUAUUGUUUAAUGCUCGGCUUUAAAGUUGUGUGCCCAGAUCUGACCGUGGCAAACCUGCUUUCAGAAAGCAAAAAACGAUCCAGCCUCGUGGAUACGGAAUGGGGGGUUUGCUGUUUUGACCCGCUUGUCUCGAGCCGAGCGGUUCAUGAAACGUGUUCUAUAAGAUGUACAUUUUUUUUUCCUCAUUGUAACAUAGAGACUGUAAAUAACCGGCGAAACUGCUGCAUUUUGAUGACUUUUUUCUAGCCAUUUUUAAAGAGAAAACUAGGAAUUGAGUAUUUUGUGUACGGUAUGUUUCCACCGCUCCCCUGCCCCCCACCCCUCCCUCUCCCUAUUUAAUUCUCAUGUGUCAUCAGGUUUUUGGGUUUGAGAACAAUCUGCUGGAGAUCUGCCCCGUGUCAUAGAGAAUAAAUCUGACGAUUGUACCAGUCUUAAAUUAUUCAUGAUUCAAUAAACUUAAUGCUUAUUUAUUCAG